rnacentral:rRNA from 1 species
AACGAACGCUGGCGGCAGGCUUAACACAUGCAAGUCGAACGCAUCCUUCGGGGUGAGUGGCAGACGGGUGAGUAACGCGUGGGAACGUGCCCUUCAGUUCGGGAUAACCCAGGGAAACUUGGGCUAAUACCGGAUACGUGCGAGAGCAGAAAGAUUUAUCGCUGAAGGAUCGGCCCGCGUCUGAUUAGCUAGUUGGUGGGGUAAUGGCCCACCAAGGCGACGAUCAGUAGCUGGUCUGAGAGGAUGAUCAGCCACAUUGGGACUGAGACACGGCCCAAACUCCUACGGGAGGCAGCAGUGGGGAAUAUUGGACAAUGGGCGCAAGCCUGAUCCAGCCAUGCCGCGUGAGGGAUGACGGCCUUCGGGUUGUAAACCUCUUUUAGCGGGGAAGAAGCGAAAGUGACGGUACCUGCAGAAAAAGCACCGGCUAACUACGUGCCAGCCGCCGCGGUAA